rnacentral:rRNA from 1 species
UACGUAGGGGGCAAGCGUUGUCCGGAUUUAUUGGGCGUAAAGCGCUCGCAGGCGGUCCGAUGCGUCGUGCGUGAAAGACCCCGGCUCAACUGGGGGAUGUCGUGCGAUACGGGCGAACUGGAGGCCAGUAGGGGGAUGCGGAAUUCCGGGUGUAGUGGUGGAAUGCGUAGAGAUCCGGAGGAACACCAGCGGCGAAGGCGGCAUCCUGGACUGGUCCUGACACUCAUGAGCGAAAGCGUGGGGAGCGAUCCGG